CUAUGACUAUUGAAUGCUGCAGAAAUCAUGUGUCCAGAGUAGAAACAAGCAUUUGCAAACAUAAGUCUAACUGGAAACACUGCUGCUCAGCAAGUAAAAGAUAUGGUGAAGAACAUAGAGGACAAGUUGCAAGAAAAAAAUGAAAUCAUUUGUGACAUUUUCAUUGCAGUGGAUGAGAGCACAGAUGUAAAUAAUAUAAUUCAGUUAAUUAUAUUUUCCAGGGCGUUGAUGAGAAUUUUGACAUCACUGAAGAACUUUUGGACAUGGUGCCCAUGACAGACCCAACAUCUGAAAAUGACUUAUUUGGGUAUGUUGAGAGUCAUGAAAAGUUUAAUGUUGACUCGUCCAAACUGGGCAAACCCCUUCCCCAGCUCACCAGGGAAGAUUGGAUCAGAGACCUGGCCUUUUUGGUUGACAUUACAAACCAUCUAAACACUUUGACUAUUUCUCUGCGAAGACGUUCCCAAGUGGGGACCCAAAUAAAUCAGUUUCAAGAAAUGAAAGCGAUGGCUUAAGCUACAUCCCCAAAAUCGUGGAGCUGAAGAUUGAAUUCCAAGAAAGGUUCUCUGAUUUCAGACAUUCUGAAAAUGAGCUCAUAUUGUUCAGCCCACCUCUCUCAGUUAACACUGACAGUGUUAAUGAAGAGUUACAAACGGAAGUUAUUGAACUGCAGUGUAAUACGGUAUUAGAAACUAAAUAUGAUGACAUUGGAACACCAGAAUUCUACAAAUACCUCAGCAGGAGUUACCCCAGAUACAGAAACUUUUGUGCAAAGAUUCUGUCCAUGUUUGGAAGCACCUAUGUCUGUGAAGAGCUGUUUCUUGUUAACAAAUUGAGUAAAACUAAAUUUCUGCUCCCAGUUAAAGGAUACAAGAUUAUGGACACCUGGGUGGCUCAGUUGGUUAGGCGACUGCCUUUGGCUCUGGAAAUGAUCCUGGAAUCCCAGGAUCGAGUCCCAUAUCGGGCUCCCUGCUCUGCAGGGAGUCUGCUUCUUCCUCUGA